GGUAUUUUGACCGUGCAAAGGUAGCAUAAUCAUUAGUUUUUUAAUUGAAAGCUGGAAUGAAAGGUUGGAUGAGAAAUAAGCUGUCUCUAUUUAAUUUUAUUAGAAUUUUAUUUUUAAGUAAAAAAGCUUAAAUUUUAAUAGAAGACGAGAAGACCCUAUAGAGUUUUAUUUAUUUUUUAAAUAAAAUUAAUAGUAUUAAUUAUUUUUAUUUAGAACAUAAAUUUGGUUGGGGUGAUUGAAAAAUUUAAUAAACUUUUUUUGUAUGUAUACAUUGAUAUAUGAUUGAUUGAUCCUUAGUUUAAGAUUAAAAGAUAAAAUUACCUUAGGGAUAACAGCGUAAUUUUUUUUGAGAGUUCAAAUCGAAAGAAAAGAUUGCGACCUCGAUGUUGGAUUAAAAUAAAAAUUUGGUGUAGAAGCUAAAA
rnacentral:rRNA from 1 species